rnacentral:rRNA from 1 species
UACGGAGGGUGCAAGCGUUGUCCGGAAUCAUUGGGUGUAAAGGGUACGCAGGCGGGCGUCUGCGUCCGGGGUGAAAUCCUGCCGCUUAACGGUAGAAGGGCCUCGGAUACGAGACGUCUUGAGACCAGCAGAGGCUGGCGGAAUUCGUGGUGUAGCGGUGAAAUGCAUAGAUAUCACGAAGAACACCAGUGGCGAAAGCGGCCGGCUGGGCUGGAUCUGACGCUGAGGUACGAAAGCGUGGGGAGCGAACAGG